CCUACGGGAGGCAGCAGUGAGGAAUAUUGGUCAAUGGACGAGAGUCUGAACCAGCCAAGUAGCGUGAAGGAUGACUGCCCUAUGGGUUGUCAACUUCUUUUAUAAAGGAAUAAAACGAGGCACGUGUGCCUUUUUGCAUGUACUUUAUGAAUAAGGAUCGGCUAACGCCGUGCCAGCAGCCGAGGUAAUACGGAGGAUCCGAGCGUUAUCCGGAUUUAUUGGGUUUAAAGGGAGCGUAGAUGGGUUGUUAAGUCAGUUGUGAAAGUUUGCGGCUCAACCGUAAAAUUGCCAUUGAUACUGGCAGUCUUGAGUACAGUUGAGGUAGGCGGAAUUCGUGGUGUAGCGGUUAAAUGCUUAGAUAUCACGAAGAACCCCGAUUGCGAAGGCAGCUUACUAAACUGUGACUGACAUUGAUGCUCGAAAGUGUGGGUAUCAAACAGGAUUAGAUACCCGAGUAGUC
rnacentral:rRNA from 1 species